GAUCAUGGCUCAGGAUGAACGCUAGCGACAGGCUUAACACAUGCAAGUCGAGGGGCAGCACAGGUAGCAAUACCGGGUGGCGACCGGCGCACGGGUGAGUAACGUGUAUGCAACUUACCUAUCAGAGGGGGAUAACCCGGCGAAAGUCGGACUAAUACCGCAUGAAGCAGGGGUCCCGCAUGUGGAUAUUUGCUAAAGAUUCAUCGCUGAUAGAUAGGCAUGCGUU
rnacentral:rRNA from 1 species